GACGAACGCUGGCGGCGUGCUUAACACAUGCAAGUCGAACGAUGAACCCGGAGCUUGCUCCGGUGGAUUAGUGGCGAACGGGUGAGUAACACGUGAGUAACCUGCCCUUGACUCUGGGAUAACUGCGGGAAACUGUAGCUAAUACCGGAUACGACCCUCGGCGGCAUCGCCAGGGGGUGGAAAGAAUUUCGGUCAAGGAUGGACUCGCGGCCUAUCAGCUAGUUGGGGAGGUAACGGCUCACCAAGGCGACGACGGGUAGCCGGCCUGAGAGGGUAACCGGCCACACUGGGACUGAGACACGGCCCAGACUCCUACGUGAGGCAUGAGUGGAGAAUAUUGCACAAUGAGCGCAAGCCUGAUGCAGCAACGCCGCGUGGGGGAUGACGGCCUUCGGGUUGUAAACCUCUUUUAGUAGGGAAGAAGCGAAAGUGACGGUACCCGCAGAAAAAGCACCGGCUAACUACGUGCCAGCCGCCGCGGUAA
rnacentral:rRNA from 1 species